rnacentral:rRNA from 1 species
GAUGAACGCUGGCGGCGUGCCUAAUACAUGCAAGUCGAGCGGUAAGGUCCCUUCGGGGAUACACGAGCGGCGGACGGCUGAGUAACACGUAGGAACGUACCCCAAACUGAGGGGAUAACUGCUCGAAAGAGUAGCUAAUACCGCAUGUGGUCUUCGGAUUAAAGCUUCGGCGGUUUGGGAACGGCCUGCGCAUGAUUAGCUUGUUGGUAAGGUAAUGGCUUACCAAGGCGAUGAUCAUUAGCUGGUCUGAGAGGAUGAUCAGCCAGACUGGGACUGAGAACGGCCCAGACUCCUACGGGAGGCAGCAGUAGGGAAUUUUCCACAAUGGACGAAAGUCUGAUGGAGCAACGCCGCGUGCAGGAUGAAGGCCUUCGGGUUGUAAACUGCUUUUAUAUGUGACGAUUAUGACGGUAGCAUAUGAAUAAGGAUCGGCUAACUCCGUG